GACGAACGCUGGCGGCGUGCUUAACACAUGCAAGUCGAGCGGUAAGGCCCUUUCGGGGGUACACGAGCGGCGAACGGGUGAGUAACACGUGGGUGACCUGCCUUUAGCUCUGGGAUAAGCCUGGGAAACUGGGUCUAAUACCGGAUAUGACUCCAUGAUGCAUGUUGUGGGGUGGAAAGCUUUUGCGGCUGGAGAUGGGCCCGCGGCCUAUCAGCUUGUUGGUGGGGUGAUGGCCUACCAAGGCGA
rnacentral:rRNA from 1 species